GAUGAACGCUGGCGGCGUGCCUAAUACAUGCAAGUCGAGCGAACGGACGAGAAGCUUGCUUCUCUGAUGUUAGCGGCGGACGGGUGAGUAACACGUGGAUAACCUACCUAUAAGACUGGGAUAACUUCGGGAAACCGGAGCUAAUACCGGAUAAUAUUUUGAACCGCAUGGUUCAAAAGUGAAAGACGGUCUUGCUGUCACUUAUAGAUGGAUCCGCGCUGCAUUAGCUAGUUGGUAAGGUAACGGCUUACCAAGGCAACGAUGCAUAGCCGACCUGAGAGGGUGAUCGGCCACACGGGAACUGAGACACGGUCCAGACUCCUACGGGAGGCAGCAGUAGGGAAUCUUCCGCAAAGGGCGAAAGCCUGACGGAGCAACGCCGCGUGAGUGAUGAAGGUCUUCGGAUCGUAAAGCUCUGUUAUUAGGGAAGAACAUAUGUGUAAGUAACUGUGCACAUCUUGACGGUACCUAAUCAGAAAGCCACGGCUAACUACGUG
rnacentral:rRNA from 1 species